UGAAGCUGUGAAAAAGGCCUCCGGACCCCUUUUCAGCAAAGGAAACGUGUGCUAUAGGUCACGGGAGCCCUAAAGCGGCCACACCGGCAACCGGUGUCGAAAACGUGGGGGAUGCUCCGAAGCCGUAAAAAAGGCUUCCGGACCAGUGUGUUCGGCCAAGAAAACAUGUGCUAUAUGUCACGGGAGCCCCAAAACGACCACACAGGCCACCGGGAUCGAAAACGUGGGCGAUGGUCCGAAG
rnacentral:lncRNA from 1 species